rnacentral:rRNA from 1 species
AGCCUUGAGAUUAUAUUCUAGGUGACGCCUGCCCAGUGCUAGAAGUAAACGGCCGCAGUACCUUGACUGUGCUAAGGUAGCAUAAUCAGUUGGCUUUUAAAUGGAGUCGGGAAUGAAUGGACUUAUAGGGUAAGACUGUCUCUUCUAUACUUUAUUGAAUUUGCUUAGUAGGUGAAAAUACCUAUACCUAAGAAAAAAGACGAGAAGACCCUAGGAGUUUUUAUUAACUAUUAAUUGACUUAUUAAUUACGUUUUUGUUGGGGCGACAUAGGAGCAAUUAAACCUCCUUUCUAAGAUCCACCGACUAUGUAUUAACAAAUAAACUACCCUAGGGAUAACAGCGUAAUUCUUUAUAGAGCUUGCGACCUCGAUGUUGGACUAGGAACUUAACUGGCUAGCCGCCAGUAA